rnacentral:rRNA from 1 species
GACGAACGCUGGCGGCGCGCUUAACACAUGCAAGUCGAGCGGUAAGGCCCCUUCGGGAGUCCACGAGCGGCGAACGGGUGAGUAACACGUGAGUAAUCUGCCCUUCACUUCGGGAUAACCACCGGAAACGGUGGCUAAUACCGAAUACGACCAGUCUUCGCAUGAGGUGCUGGUGGAAAGUCUUUUCGGUGAAGGAUGUGCUCGCGGCCUAUCAGCUUGUUGGUGGGGUAAUGGCCUACCAAGGCUUCGACGGGUAGCCGGCCUGAGAGGGUGACCGGCCACACUGGGACUGAGACACGGCCCAGACUCCUACGGGAGGCAGCAGUGGGGAAUAUUGGACAAUGGGCGAAAGCCUGAUCCAGCAACGCCGCGUGAGGGAUGACGGCCUUCGGGUUGUAAACCUCUUUCAGUACCGACGAAGCGCCCUGUCGGGUGGUGACGGUAGGUACAGAAGAAGGACCGGCCAACUACGUG